GAUGAACGCUAGCGGCAGGCCUAAUACAUGCAAGUCGAACGGGAUCCAGAUCAAAGCUUGCUUUGGUUUGGUGAGAGUGGCGCACGGGUGCGUAACGCGUGAGCAACCUACCCUUGUCAGGGGGAUAGCCCGGCGAAAGUCGGAUUAAUACCGCAUGACAUCAUUGAGAGGCAUCUUUCGAUGAUCAAAGAUUUAUCGGACAAGGAUGGGCUCGCGUGACAUUAGCUAGUUGGUAAGGUAACGGCUUACCAAGGCUACGAUGUCUAGGGGCUCUGAGAGGAGAAGCCCCCACACUGGUACUGAGACACGGACCAGACUCCUACGGGAGGCAGCAGUAAGGAAUAUUGGUCAAUGGACGGAAGUCUGAACCAGCCAUGCCGCGUGCAGGAAGACGGCCCUAUGGGUUGGAAACUGCUUUUAUACGGGAACAAACGUCGGUACGUGUACCGGUCUGAGUGUACCGUAAGAAUAAGGAUCGGCUAACUCCGU
rnacentral:rRNA from 1 species